rnacentral:rRNA from 1 species
UACGUAGGUGGCAAGCGUUGUCCGGAUUUAUUGGGCGUAAAGAGCGCGCAGGCGGUUCGUUAAGUCCGAGGUGAAAUCUCCCGGCUCAACUGGGAGGGUGCGCCGAAUACUGAAUGACUUGGAGUGCGGGAGAGGAAAGUGGAAUUCCUGGUGUAGCGGUGAAAUGCGUAGAUAUCAGGAGGAACACCGGUGGUGUAGACGGCUUUCUGGACCGUAACUGACGCUGAGACACGAAAGCGUGGGUAGCAAACAGG